rnacentral:tRNA from 1 species
UGGAUCACCUCCUAACAGGGAGACAACAAAAUGUUUAAUAUUAUUAUUUUGUCGCCUUAGGUCGAUCGGUAUCUCGCAUUCUUAAAUUUAUUAAGGAUUUCAUUUCCUAAGUUUUUCUAGGUCACACCCAUUAUUUUCCUGGGCCAUUAGCUCAGGUGGUUAGAGCGCACCCCUGAUAAGGGUGAGGUCCCUGGUUCAAGUCCAGGAUGGCCCAUAUCUCUAUGUUGGGGGUAUAGCUCAGUUGGUAGAGCGCCUGCUUUGCAAGCAGGAUGUCAGCGGUUCGAGUCCGCUUACCUCCACUGAUUACCACCUCUUCCGUAAUUUGUAGAAAGGAAAGUUUUGAGUUGUGAUCAAAUUCUGAGCGAAUCUAGCUUCCUAAUGAAAUCAUCAAUACCAUUCAUUAAGAUGCUGGACUCAUUGAAUUAAUUUCAUUGUUUUCAGAGAACCUUGACAACUGCAUAGAUUAUUUUUAAAGACAAUAAGCAUCUUUAAUGAUGCAGAUUUAUUAUUUGUGCGAAUGCAUUAAUAACAAUUCUAUUAAGCUGAUGCUUCAAUUUUUGAAGUUAUUGGUCAAGCUACAAAGGGCUCACGGAGGAUACCUAGGCACACAGAGGCGAUGAAGG